rnacentral:rRNA from 1 species
UACGGGGAUGGCUAACGUUUUUCGGAUUUAUUGGGUGUAAAGGGUAUGUAGGCGGGCUUGUAAGUCGGAUGUGAAAUACUAUAGCUUAACUAUAGAACUGCAUUCGAAACUGCUUGUCUUGAGUUUGGGAGAGGAGAGUGGAAUUCUCGGUGUAAGGGUGAAAUCUGUAGAUAUCGAGAGGAACACCAGUGGCGAAAGCGACUCUCUGGACCAAAACCUGACGCUGAAAUACGAAAGCUAGGGGAGCAAACAGG